AAGUAGCCUAUAAAUGCAUUACCAUCUCCACCUGAUCAGCAAACCCAAAACAAACUGCUUCAUCUUCUAACAAUUUGAAGCUCAUCAAAAUGGAUUCUGCAACUGCAGCCACGAAGCGAUCUGACUCCAUAGCCGAAAGCAUGCCCGACGCUCUGAGGCAGAGCCGGUACCAUAUGAAGAGGUGUUUUGCUAAGUUCAUUGAAAAGGGAAAAAGGAUAAUGAAACUUCAGCACUUGAUGAAUGAAGUGGAGUUAGUCAUAGAUGACAAGGUUGAAAUGAACCAAGUCUUGGCAGGAGUACUUGGCUAUAUAUUGUGUUCAACUCAGGAAGCUGUUGUUAGUCCUCCACAUGUUCUCUUUUCAAUAAGACCAAACCCUGGAUAUUGGGAAUUUGUUAAAGUCAGCUCUGAGGAUCUGUCAGUUGAGGCCAUCACUGUGAGGGACUACUUGAAAUGCAAAGAAACACUUUAUGAUGAGAAAUGGGCCAAUGAUGAAAAUGCAUUGGAGGUGGAUUUUAGAGCAAUUGACUUCUCUACUCCUCACUUAACUCUAUCGUCCUCGAUUGGAAAUGGACUCGACUAUGUUUCCAAGUUCAUGACUUCGAUGCUAGCUGGGAGAUUGGAGAAUUCGCAGCCCCUUGUGGACUACUUACUUUCACUGAAUUAUCAAGGAGAAAAACUUAUGAUCAAUGACACCCUCAACACUGCUGCAAAGCUUCAGAUGGCCAUGAUUGUGACAGAAGUUUACCUCUCGGGGCUUCCGAAGGACACUCCAUUUCAAAAUUUUGAACUUAGGUUUAAGGAGUGGGGCUUUGAGAAGGGUUGGGGAGACACAGCAGAGAGAUCCAAGGAAACAAUGAGAAUACUAUCAGAAGUACUACAAGCUCCAGAUCCACUUAACAUGGAGAGGUUUUUGAGCAGGCUUCCUACCAUAUUCAAUGUUGUAAUAUUCUCUCCUCAUGGCUAUUUUGGCCAAGCUGAUGUUCUUGGUUUGCCAGACACCGGUGGACAGGUUGUUUAUAUUCUGGAUCAAGUUAAAGCUCUGGAAGAAGAAUUGCUCCUUAGAAUUAAGCAACAAGGGCUUGCUGUGAGGCCUCAGAUUUUUGUGGUAACAAGACUCAUUCCUGAAGCAAGGGGAACCACGUGCAAUCAGGAGUUGGAACCUAUCAAUGGCACCAAGUACUCAAACAUUCUUAGGGUUCCAUUUAGGACAGAAAAGGGGGUCCUUCGUCGUUGGGUUUCUCGUUUUGAUAUCUACCCCUAUCUUGAGCUGUUUGUGCAGGAUGCUACAGCCAAAAUCCUCGACCUCAUGGACGGGAAGCCUGAUCUUAUUAUUGGAAAUUACACUGAUGGGAAUUUGGUGGCCUCUCUGAUGGCUAACAAACUUGGAAUAACUCAGGCAACAAUUGCACAUGCUUUGGAGAAGACCAAGUAUGAAGACUCAGACAUCAAGUGGAAGGAAUUAGACCCUAAGUAUCACUUCUCAUGCCAAUUUCUAGCAGACACAAUUUCAAUGAAUGCAACAGAUUUUGUCAUUGCAAGCACAUUCCAGGAAAUUGCAGGAAGCAAAGACAGACCAGGACAAUAUGAAAGCCAUACCGCAUUUACUCUCCCAGGGCUUUGUAGAGUUGUUUCAGGCAUCAAUGUAUUCGAUCCCAAAUUUAACAUUGCUGCACCUGGGGCUGACCAGUCUGUCUAUUUUCCUUACACUGAGAAACAAAAAAGAGUCUCAUCAUUUCAUCCUGCCAUUGAAGAACUACUGUAUAGCAAGGAGGAUAACAAUGAACAUAUGGGGUUUCUAGUGGAUAGGAAGAAACCUAUCAUCUUCUCAAUGGCAAGGCUUGACACUGUUAAGAACAUUACUGGUUUAGUUGAAUGGUAUGGCAAAAACAAGAGGCUCAGAAAUCUGGUUAACCUUGUAGUAGUUGGAGGCUUCUUUGACCCUUCAAAAUCAAAAGAUAGAGAGGAAAUAGCAGAAAUUAAAAAGAUGCAUUCACUGAUAGAGAAGUACCAGCUCCAGGGUCAGAUCAGAUGGAUAGCAGCACAGACUGAUAGGAACCGCAAUGGAGAACUCUACCGUUAUAUUGCGGACACCAGGGGAGCUUUUGUCCAACCUGCUCUAUAUGAAGCUUUUGGUCUUACUGUCAUUGAGGCAAUGAACUGUGGUUUACCCACUUUUGCAACCAACCAAGGAGGGCCAGCUGAAAUCAUUGUUGAUGGGAUCUCUGGUUUCCAUAUUGAUCCGAACAACGGUGAUGAUGCAAGCAGCAAAAUUGCCGAUUUCUUUGAGAAAUGCAAAACUGAGGCUACAUACUGGGACAAGUAUUCAAAAGCGGGUUUGCAACGCAUUUAUGAAUGCUACACUUGGAAGAUAUAUGCAAACAAGGUGUUGAACAUGGGCUGCACGUAUACAUUCUGGAGGCAGUUGAACAAAGAGCAGAAACAGGCAAAGCAAAGAUACAUCCAGAUGUUCUUUAAUCUCCAAUAUAGAAAUUUGGUGAAGAGUGUGCCUAUCCCAAGUGACGAGCCUGAAAAACCAGCACCAAAGCCAGUCACCAAAUCACAGACGACUCAAAGAAUUAAUCGGUGAAAUUUCAUGGACAAUGUAUCAAAUGCAUAUAACUGGCUGUGCAUACAAAUCAUACCCUUACGAGCACUAGACGCUCACAGUCCCGAUUGCAAAGGUAAAGAGUUGUUUGGAGCCUGAAUAAGGGGCAGACAAGGGAGCUUGGUUGAGAUUGCAAUUUGAGCCACCCAAAUAGCAUGCUAUACAUUUAUAAAGAAGAAUUACUGUUUGUAAUCAUUGAAUGAUGAUGUAAUAAAGAACUUCAAAAUUUACAACGAAGUGUGAGUUUUCCAACUCAA